CCUACGGGAGGCAGCAGUGGGGAAUAUUGCACAAUGGGCGAAAGCCUGGUGCAGCAACGCCGCGUGAGGGAUGACGGCCUUCGGGUUGUAAACCUCUUUUAGCAGGGAAGAAGCGAAAGUGACGGUACCUGCAGAAAAAGCGCCGGCUAACUACGUGCCAGCAGCCGCGGUAA
rnacentral:rRNA from 1 species